UAGGGUGGGACCAACAGAAGUGUCACAUCAAAGUUGCACAUAGGAGCUGGAGAGAAAUCCUGAUUAAGAAUUAAUAGCAAGACCAGUGAGUCAGAAACCUUUUAGUAUGCCAUAUCUUUCCUUCUGAGCUUCUUUUUGGAUGUUGUUCUGGCAAUUCAGCACCUCCCGAGGCUCCCCCAGUGUUUGAUUUCCUCGAUACAGAGGCGUGUCCUAGAAUAACAGAAUUCAUUGUGUUGCAGUAUCCUAGUUUGUAAAGACAGAGCUCCUCAAAACCAAGCACAGAUGAUAUAAUGUCUUGUCUAGUCUGGUGUG